rnacentral:lncRNA from 1 species
CUCGAGCCAUGAUGAGACCAUGGUCCGGCCCUUCGCCAGGCUUAUCGCCCGCCAUCCAACCUCCCCUUGAUGGGCAGUCGGGAAUUUCGGAAGGGAAGGGGAUGCCCACUGGCUUUAGCGGCAACUGUGGCCUCUUUAUAUCGGCCUUUCGCUUUACACCUACCUUUCGUCCCUUCUGUUUCCUCCGGAGGCGCGGCAAUGGCGUUGCCGUGCACGCGGGCCCGAGCGGCGAAGGCGCCGAGUGGGGCGGCGAGGCGCGGUGAUGAUGGCGCGGCGGAGUGCAGGCCGG